UAUUGACCUGGCCUAUGUGCAUUAUAGUCACUGUCUGCUACCCUCAUAACAACCCCAGAAGUCAAUAGAUGCUUUGAUCUUUGUCUUACAGAGUAUUGUGAAGAGCAAAUGAAGUGAUAAAUAUGGAAAUGCUUUGUGAAGUGUGAGAUGCUGCAUACAGGAGAUGGAGACAGUGUCAACGGGUUUGCCCCGGAAAAGACUUCAGUGUCCAGAAGACAGAGAUAGAAAGCAGGG